rnacentral:rRNA from 1 species
UACGUAGGGGGCAAGCGUUGUCCGGAAUUAUUGGGCGUAAAGAGCGCGUAGGCGGUCCGAUAAGUCGGCUGUGAAAGUCAGGGGCUCAACCCUUGGAAGCCGGCCGAUACUAUCGGACUAGAGUCCGGAAGAGGCGAGUGGAAUUCCCGGUGUAGCGGUGAAAUGCGCAGAUAUCGGGAGGAACACCAAUGGCGAAGGCAGCUCGCUGGGACGGUACUGACGCUGAGGCGCGAAAGCGUGGGGAGCAAACAGG